AACGCACAUUGCGCCCCUUGGUAUUCCGGGGGGCACACCUGUUCGAGCGCCAUCUCGACCCUCAAGCACAGCUUGGUGUUGGGCACGGUCCUGUGGGACCCGCCCGCAACCCGUAGGCGGCCGGCGGCCGCGCCCCCAGCGUAGCAAGCUCACGCGUUCGCUCGGGGACGGCGCGUCUGGCCCGCCAGGCGAAACUCUUCAAGGUUUGGCCUCGGAUCAGGUGGGGAUACCCGCUGAACUUAA
rnacentral:misc_RNA from 1 species